GUUAUUAUUAGGUUGGUGCAAAAGUAAUUGCGAGUUUUGCCAUUUAAAAGUAGUGGCAAAAGCCACAGUUACUUUUGCAUCAACCUAAUA
rnacentral:miRNA from 1 species